rfam:Pan troglodytes isolate Yerkes chimp pedigree #C0471 (Clint) chromosome 12, whole genome shotgun sequence.
GCCGGGCAUGGUGGUGGGUGCCUGUAAUCCCAGCUACUGGGGAGGCUGAGGUGGGAGGAUCACUUGAGUCCAGGAGGUGGAGGUUGCAGUGAGCCAAGAUCAAGCCACUGCACUCCAGCCUGGGUGACAGAGUGAGACUCCAACUCAA